CUCAAAGUCGGUAACUAAACAGAGGGUGAAGGGAGGGAGGCAGAGCAUCGACCCAUCGAGAAGGGAGGCAGAGCAUGGCAUGCAUGAUCAGAUCUAAGCCUGCCUGAGUUGCCGCCAGUCACCCUUGAUCGCCGCCCUUAGUCUCCCCCGCCAGAAGUGUCAGCUCCACUGCUCCAGUCGCCGCCCCACCAGCCCACCAGCGCCAG
rnacentral:misc_RNA from 1 species